AGUCUACUCAUAAGGUCAGCAAUGGAUGCCCUUGGCGGUUUUGGCCGAGGAAGGACGUUUGUAUGCCAACGAUAUCGCCGGUUAGGCGGCCAGCAGCCUGCGAUCCGGCGGUUUCCGAAUCGAGUAAUCGUCCCGCCUUUAGGCGGGAAGGUAAUAGUGAAAGUCCCGAUUUAAUCGGGGUAUUAGUUAUUACCAGGGAACCGGGUGAACUGAAACAUCUAAGUAACCCGAGGAAAAGAAAUCAAUGUCGUCCAACGGACGACCGG
rnacentral:ncRNA from 1 species